rnacentral:rRNA from 1 species
AUACGUAGGGAGCGAGCGUUGUCCGGAAUUACUGGGUGUAAAGGGUGCGUAGGCGGGUAGACAAGUCAGCAGUGAAAUCUAUGGGCUUAACUCAUAACGUGCUGUUGAAACUGUCGAUCUUGAGUGAGUCAGAGGCAGGCGGAAUUCCCGGUGUAGCGGUGAAAUGCAUAGAGAUUGGGGGGAAAACCAUUGGCGAAGGCGGCCUGUGGGGGCUUAACUGACGCGGAGGCAGAAAAGCGGGGGGAGCAAACAGGAUUGGUUACCCGGGUAGUCCACGCCGUAAACGAUUAUUACUAGGGGUGUGGGGAGUGACCCCCUACGUGCCGUAGUUAACACAAUAAGUAUUCCGCCUGGGGAGUACGGCCGCAAGGUUGAAACUCAAAUGAAUUGACGGGG